UGUUCAUGACGAACACUGUGACCGAAUCAGACCAAGUCGAAUCGAUCGACUCGAUUGAUCCCUGGACUCCACGCGCGAGUUGACGCCCUAUAUAAGUUCAUAAAUCCCUCCUCGACCGAUUUUUGGCAAAAACUUGGAUUCCCGUGCCCGUUUCGCCCGGAUCCGAUCUUGCCGGAGUUCGCCGCUGCAGGAGCAUCUCGCCGGUUGUUUCCGUCGACGCACAAGGGAAGCACCCACCCGAGUGCUUCGACCUCCGCCCCGACGAACACCGCCGUCACCGCUCCAGCCGGUCACUGUCGCCACCGGAGGAAGCUCCAAUUGUGUGGGAAGUUAACCACUUCAUCUCCGUCGCUCUCUCCACUCGUAGGUCAUAUCUGCGUAGCCGGAGGCCCUCUGUAGCCGUCGCCCGUAUCACCACCGAGCCGCCGGCGCCGUCCUUCUCCAACUCCGACGACGCCCAGCUCUGUUCUCAGAUUGUCCGGAGUGUGAAGCGGAUCGGAAUUAAUUGUUAGAGUACUUCAGCACCGUUCAAGGCAAGUUUGCACUAUUGAUUUUGCUCAUCCUAUAUUCUGCUAUGCAUGUGUGAUUUUUAUGCUAUGACAUGUGCUUGGUUUGAUCUGUUUGUUCUGUGUUGUCAUAUUCUAGUGUGAUCAACUUGCUAUGAUAGACAUGGGCAUAUGUCGAGUGAUCCAUGAAAGUGGUGAGUGUUUAUAGCCGUAGGCUCGGGAUUAUUAACCAGGUGAAUGCGUCACUGGCAGAGCGCUCUAUUGUCCCUAGAGAAUGCGCCAUUGACAGAGCGCACUUGAGGCGAGGUUUAGUUUUCGGAACUUAAAUCAGGUGAAUGCGUCCUUGGCAGAGCGCUCUAUUGUUCCUAGAGAAUGCGCCACUGACAGAGCGCACUUGAGACAUACUUCUGAAGUUCUUGUCAUGUUUAUUUAGAAUCUUUGGGUUAUCUUGGGCGAGUAAAUUAGAGACGGUUGUGAGUUCAGGUAGUGGAGGUAGGUGAAGACAUUCUUCUCCAAACUAGUGUGUUUUGUUUAUCAUACAUUGCUUUGUGGAUGUAGGUUUGCUAUAUCGUAUUGUGUGAUUUGCCAAUACAUUCAAUGUAUUGACCCUUUGUGGCUGCAACUUAUCAUGUUGCAGGAUUUUCAGAUGAUCAGUGAGAUACAGUAGGGUCACGAGUCUUCACUCAACAUGUUCUCCAGUGGGCAUUGAUGGACUCGUCGUUGAUUAUGCUACCUUUUCGCUGUUAUUAUUGAAUAAGUUAGCCAUGUGCUAUUCAGUUUGUAAUACUUUAUAACUUCUGGAUCAUACGUUAUGUUAAAUGAUGCACUUGUUAUUUGAUAUUCAUAUGUACUGUAUGUGCUAGCGAGUUGAUCGAGGGACUAGCACUGUGAGCACAGAGACAUCGAAUCUUAUCAGGUUCGGGUCGUUACACGGGUAGAAGGCGUCGCCGACAACAACGGAGAGUACACACCUCAAUGCAUGAAGACAAAGAGAAAGAAGUGCAAGCGGGGCGACUUGAUGAUGGCGAGGCUCUGGGCGCGCUCGAGCUCUUGCAUGAGGUUGUCGACAUGUCCUCCAAAUAGACGAAGAUGAGCGGGUUGAGGACGUGGUGCGGGAGCUGAUACAUGAGCAUCAAAGUCGGGCUCGCCAGGGACGACAAGGCGAGGGGGCGAGCUUGAGCUUGACAAACACAGGGAAGAGGACGACGUGAGGACGAUGCCGGUCUCGCAACCGAGAACGGUCGGAUUAAAAUGGAUGGCAGAUUGGCCUGCUACAGUACACAUACAUUAACAGUAGUACUGCAGAGAAGCCGAACCUGAGCCAUGGAUCCCGCUUUAGCUGAGUAUGAGGGAUGAAACUUCUUUGGUUUGAAACAUUCAAGUUGCAAGUUGUCCUGAUUUUAAGUUAAGGG